CAGCGAAAGUUGUACUAAUACCGCAUAAGACCACGUUGGGACAUCCCAAAGGGGUCAAAGGAGCAAUCCGGUGAAGGGUGGGCUCGCGUCCGAUUAGAUAGUUGGUGAGGUAACGGCCCACCAAGUCGACGAUCGGUAGCCGACCUGAGAGGGUGAUCGGCCACAUUGGGACUGAGACACGGCCCAAACUCCUACGGGAGGCAGCAGUGGGGAAUAUUGGGCAAUGGGGGAAACCCUGACCCAGCAACGCCGCGUGAGGGAAGAAGGUUUUCGGAUCGUAAACCUCUGUCCUUGGUGAAGAGGAAGAGACGGUAGCCAAGGAGGAAGCCCCGGCUAACUACGUGCCAGCAGCCGCGGUAAUACGUAGGGGGCGAGCGUUGUCCGGAAUGAUUGGGCGUAAAGGGCGCGUAGGCGGCCCGGUAAGUCUGGAGUGAAAGUCCUGCUUUUAAGGUGGGAAUUGCUUUGGAUACUGUCGGGCUUGAGUGCAGGAGAGGUAAGUGGAAUUCCCAGUGUAGCGGUGAAAUGCGUAGAGAUUGGGAGGAACACCAGUGGCGAAGGCGACUUACUGGACUGUAACUGACGCUGAGGCGCGAAAGUGUGGGGAGCAAACAGGAUUAGAUACCCUGGUAGUCCACACUGUAAACGAUGAAUGCUAGGUGUAGGGGGUAUCGACCCCUUCUGUGCCGCAGUUAACACAAUA
rnacentral:rRNA from 1 species